CCCCAUCCAUUUGCAAGAAGAAGCGAGCAGCAGUGAUGCUCACAUCCCUUAGGCAUUAUCCAGGCGACCUCGUGCCGGCGCUGGAUGCGUUUUGGGCGGUGAGCAGGAGCGAGCAGAGAAAUGCCUUCACCCAGCAAGAAGAGCAGGGGAUGUGCUUGUCACCAUCACCAGUGAGUGGUGGAGGUGGCCCAGAACGGUGCCGGAUGCUGCCCAGGUUGGCCCAGCCGCUGCCUCCCACCUCCGGGAAGAGAAUGCCGGCUCCUCCAGGCAUGGCUCCCAG
ensembl:lncRNA